GCCGCGGUAGCUUAGCUGGUAGAGCAUGGGACUUGUAAUCCCAGGGUCGAGGGUUCAAAUCCCUCCCGCGGCU
rnacentral:tRNA from 1 species